UACAGAGGUCUCAAGCGUUGUUCGGAUUCAUUGGGCGUAAAGGGUGCGUAGGCGGCGCGGUAAGUCGGGUGUGAAAUCUUGGAGCUUAACUCCGAAACUGCAUUCGAUACUGCCGUGCUUGAGGACUGGAGAGGAGAUUGGAAUUUACGGUGUAGCGGUGAAAUGCGUAGAUAUCGUAAGGAAGACCAGUGGCGAAGGCGGGUCUCUGGACAGUUCCUGACGCUGAGGCACGAAGGCCAGGGGAGCAAACGGG
rnacentral:rRNA from 1 species